AUUGAACGCUGGCGGCAGGCCUAACACAUGCAAGUCGAGCGGAUGACGGGAGCUUGCUCCUUGAUUCAGCGGCGGACGGGUGAGUAAUGCCUAGGAAUCUGCCUGGUAGUGGGGGACAACGUUUCGAAAGGAACGCUAAUACCGCAUACGUCCUACGGGAGAAAGCAGGGGACCUUCGGGCCUUGCGCUAUCAGAUGAGCCUAGGUCGGAUUAGCUAGUUGGUGGGGUAAUGGCUCACCAAGGCGACGAUCCGUAACUGGUCUGAGAGGAUGAUAAGUCACACUGGAACUGAGACACGGUCCAGACUCCUACGGGAGGCAGCAGUGGGGAAUAUUGGACAAUGGGCGAAAGCCUGAUCCAGCCAUGCCGCGUGUGUGAAGAAGGUCUUCGGAUUGUAAAGCACUUUAAGUUGGGAGGAAGGGCAGUAAGUUAAUACCUUGCUGUUUUGACGUUACCGGCAGAAUAAGCACCGGCUAACUCUGUGCCAGCAGCCGCGGUAA
rnacentral:rRNA from 1 species